ensembl:processed_transcript 5430405H02Rik RIKEN cDNA 5430405H02 gene
GCGGCCCGGAGGCGAUCUGUGCGCGAGGAGGCGCUGUGGAGACUGAGGCACAGCCCCUCCGAGGAAAGCCGAGAUUGGACAUUUCCUUGCUGGCUGAGCCUUGGCUCGUCCCCCGGAGCGACACAUAGGAAAAGUGGCCUUGCAUCCUGCUCCGCCUCCCGAGCCGGGUCCUUGGUCCCCGGAAGCCCUGGGCUGCCCCACUGGAGUUACCUUCUGUGCGUUCUCUCCUAAACCUACACGUUAUUCACGACUUUGUUCAUGACUAUGGAAAACAAAACAAAAACCAAACCAAAGUUCCCUCGCCUGGCGAUGGUGCAAGCCUGUCUACCUGCUGGAGGAUGGUUGGAAUGUGCACACCUGGCUCAACCAAAAGAGGCACAGCUUAGGGGCGGCUUGGACCCAGCUCAAGUCUGGACUUGGCAGCUUUCCUGAGCCUGCCUAGGAAAGCAGGCUGGAGUGCAGGUGUCCCAGGGCUCUCUGGAGGAGCAGCAGCAACACCAUGCCUGGCUCUGGUGCCUUGGUCUCCUCGGAGAGGACACUUGAAGGAAUGGCACUCAGCAGAGUACAGGCCCCGUAACAGUGCAGCGCAGCGACAUCAGCUGAGGACUGGACAGAAUGGUCCUGAUGUUUGGCAGUGAUCCGUACUUGGAUAACCCUCUGCAUGAAAGGGCAGUGAGCCAGGAACCUCAAGCCACCCGGGAGCAGGUGCCUACUUGGCGUUUUCUGAGACGAAAGGCAGCGGAGUGUGUAGCAAAGGUGGCGCUGGCUCUUGCUGCUUCUGAAGCUCCAUCUCGGCAGCCCUCUGCAGCGCCACCUCCACCAGCAACUGGAAGCUGCUGAAGUCAUCCUUGUCCUGCUCUGGGGGUGUGGGUGGUGGCGUAUUGAAGAGUCCACCCGUGGGGCUUCCAGCCUCUGCCCUAGUCAGCAGGNNNNNNNNNNNNNNNNNNNNUGGGUUGGAGAGAUGGCUCACUGAUGUUAGAGCACUGAUUGCUCUUCCAGAGGUCCUGAGUUCAAAUCCCAGCAACCACGUGGUGGCUCACAACCAUCUAUAAAAAGGAUCUGAUGCCCUCUUCUGGUGUCUGAAGACAGCUACAGUGUACUUGUAUAAAU